AGCUGACAUUUGCUGUACAAGCAUUGCGGCAACGUAAAUCCAUACCGGAGUACCAACCGGGGGCCGCUUCGCCCGGCGUCCGUGAUUCUUGCUUCCUACGUGGCGAUGGUCGACCCACGCUCGUUUGGAAGUCCAUGCAGAUCGCAUCGGCAGGGCUGUCUUCCAGUUGCGUCUCUGGGAGAUUAGGAGCCGUGGCCACAGUGUCCUUUUCCUCAGGGCCGAGUGAGAGGGCCAUCCGAGCUCUCCACAAACAUUUUAUGCCAUGCGCUUCCUGUUCGUACGCCGGCACUUCCUGUGAGUGGAAUCUCCAUUAGCCGCAUCGUUGCCCCCUGCAGUCUGGGUGCGCUCCGACUGUUCGGGGUGGAUAUGGGCCUUGACCUCUCUGUGCGGCUUGUGACCGGAGAUUGACGCAACAUGCAUUAAAACUAACAUUGUUUGAAUUAAAGGAGAAUGUAAGAGUUCACCUCUGGCAUCAAUGAUCAC
ensembl:lncRNA